AACCUGAAGACUAGAUCGAAGUUACCAAGGAAAAGAGCAGCACAUAGCACACUUGAACUAUAUGCUAGGAUAGGCCUCUUCUUCCUGGGACCUAAUGGAUUUAAAUGGCUUAAGAGAACAGGAUGACUUGUUGUAAACCGUCCUUUCAAAAGACCUCACCGAAGGCCAAAGACAAGACUCAUUGAGGCCAAGUUUUUCAGCUGAUCAACAAUAUCUAUAAGUUGACGCAGUCUAAUCAAGAGGCGAUCUUGCCCUUGGAAGCUUGAUUUAUGGGCCACUGUCCCUGAGAAGAGGACCAUCAGGCAGAUGACUAUUCUCUCCAUGUUGCCAGGUCUGGAUCUCGUAUACGUGUGCAUGUGCUAAUACGCGGGGGCAGGGAUUGAUGGAGUCAACGAAAUGUGCCCCAUCUGCAUCUUAGACAGGAAAAAGAGAAAUGGGUGAAUUCCAAUUUUCAGCAUGAAUCAAGAAGUGUGCACAGUAAAUAAAAGGUUCCAGAGACUUCUGUGAAGGGCAGUGCGAUCCACGCUGCUUCAGCACGUCCACAGCACUGUGCACAAGAGCGACAGCUCCAGACUUUCUGUACAGGACAAGUGAAGGGACAGCAGUCUGGCUGAAGUUACACUUGUGUAGUGAGCACCCUGCUUUUACUUAGCUGCCAUGUUUAUUUGGUACCUUGGAGUGAGGUGUUGGGUUCUGCUAGAUGCCUUCUUUCCAGGAAGAUAACCCAGGUCGUCACCAUGAAAGCAUGAAAUUUUAGUCACCCACCCGAGGGGAUUUGUGGACAUAUUUCAAGAAUUUCUCGAAUGGACUGUGCUUAUAGACCCCCUGGUCAGUGUAGGAAGGAGGCCAGGGCACUGAAGGAAGGCUUCCAGCAGGGAGAGCAGGCUGAAGGUGAGAGGAAUAAAGGGAAGGAGGGGUUGAAGUCUGAAAAUGAAUGCUGCUAGGUCAUGGGGAAAGAUGUGCCAGGUCUAAAACAGCGCUGGUCACUCUGCACCCAACUCUUCUGCCCUGUCUAUACCGCUCUUCCUUGUGACCGCUGGGUGCCAAAUACUCCCUUUCUGCUUUCACUUGCUUUGGCCGCUCAUGGGUAGGAUUAGAUGUCCUGCCUGGCAAACUCUGCAAAGAGAGGUCUCCGGUGUUUAGAGUGAUAUAUGUUAUUAUAAUAUGUGCCACUCUGACAUGCCAAAGGUAUUCAAACAGGUGGCUUGUCUAUAGACAACUAUGACACCCAUCAAUGAGGCUAGAGAUCAGAUGUCCAUCAUUCCACGACCAUCAGGCAUAAAGGAUGGAGAAAAAGAACCAGAAGAUCCAAACUGUACACCCAAGUUCCAUCCUGACCCCACAGCACGAGAUGUGACAUGUUCCACUGGACUCAAGGCCUGCACCUGUUUCCUUCCCUAGGGUGAGGGGCUGCUAAAAACAUCUUCCGUCUUGACCUUGCAGCUCCCAACACAUGGUCAUGAAAAUAAAGAAGUACACCAUUGGCCUUUGCUGUGUCCUCUUCCUAAGUUGUCUGCUGAGUUCCUCAUUCAUAGGAACCUCCUCCCCACGUUCUCCAAGGGGCGGCAUCAGGAUCUCAGAGAGAGGAGUCUGCAGGUUGAAUGCCACCCUCAUUCUGGACGGUUAUUUCUGUUUCUAGGGAUGAGGAUCAUUUUUUGGAA